rnacentral:rRNA from 1 species
CAAUAAUAAGAGAACUACUUAUUCGCCAGGGUACUACGAGCACUAGCUUAAAACCCAAAGGACUUGGCGGUGCUUUAGACCCACCUAGAGGAGCCUGUUCUAGAACCGAUAACCCCCGUUCAACCUCACCCUUUCUUGUUAUCUCCGCCUAUAUACCGCCGUCGUCAGCUUACCCUGUAAAGGACCCAAAGUAAGCAAUAUUGGCACAACCCAAAACGUCAGGUCGAGGUGUAGCGUAUGCAAGGGGAAGAAAUGGGCUACAUUCGCUGACACAGCGUAUUAAACGAAUUAGCCCACUGAAACGUGGGUAUGAAGGAGGAUUUAGAAGUAAGAGGGAAAUAGAGCGUCC